GCCUGGAGAGCAGGGCUACAGGUUAGACCGUCGGUGACCCCUCUUUCUCCCAGCUUCUAGUAUAGGCCUGGCCUGCCCUUGGGAAACCUCCAGAACCUUCUGCGCCCGGCUAACAGAUGUGCCCCCCCCGCCCCCCCAAUCCCAGCCAUCCCCAUCCCGGCGCACACGUUUCCCCUCCUAUUUCCCCACCUGGUUACCUCUCCAAACCCCUUCCGUUGGAGCAGAGUGACCACAGACCCCUGCUCCGUCCCUGCUUCCGGCAGAAACGUCACACCCUUGACAGUAGGGCCAUGAGCUCAACCCACUCAGAGCGCCUUCCUGCCCACACCCUGGGGGGGGGGUCCCCCUGCCAUCUGGUCACUGUCCUCUGAGGUCACUCCCACGAAACGGGGGGGGGGGCUUCUGGCAAAGCAGCUCUCUGCCUGGGAUUUUGGGGCCUAGAACCUUCCAAAGCCUUCGUCCCCUCCCUAGACUGCGCCCGAGGUCUGGGUGGACACUGAGCACAAGGGAAGUGUGACCACGCCAGAAACGCAGACACCUGUGGGCCCCCACGGCACCAAGGGGAUCCCACAUAGGGGGGCUCCUGGAGGGGGGACCGUGGCCUGAGUCUUGAGGUGGAGCAGGGCUGCAGGGUCGGCCCAGUGGCUCCCCCGGGGCUGCGGAGGCCCCAAACCGAGAGCCUCGGAGACAACACAAGAGGGUGAGUGCAGGGCAGGUUUCCCAGGGGAUUAUUUCAUUCUUGCCAUCACAGCCAUAACCCGAUGGAUGCGGGGACUGAACAUUUGUGUCACCCCGUGUCAGUGCCGAAACAGGUACGGGUCACCGUCAAAAGGUUGUGUGUGGCCUGGCCACUUAGCGAACCGUGCGUUGGCCCCUCCUUGCGACCCACCAGUUUCACUCUUACGUGUGCACACAACAUGUUCCCCGAAGGACACGGACCAGAAUGUUCCUAACGGCUUCGGUCACGAUGG